GUUGUUGUGGUGUAGUGGUUAUCACAUUAGUCUUACACAUUAAAGGCCCCUAGGUCAAUCUUGGGCAACAACA
rfam:Ipomoea nil DNA, scaffold: scaffold2921, cultivar: Tokyo-kokei standard.